CAAAAGUCUCUAUUUCGAUUUAUCUAAUUCUGUAUUACUCAUUUUACAUCUCAAUUCUCAAGCUCUGCUAGAAAAUCAAUUUUGAUAUUCAAUCAUCCGUUACAAAUUAGAGGCGCAAUAGAUCUGCAAAUACUUCUUCAAUUUCUCUCCAUCCCUCUGCAAAUUUCAUGCUCAAUCACCGUUACAAAGCUUAGAUUAGCAAUUGAUCUGCAAAUAUUCUCAAAUCCCUCUCUAUCCGUCUGCAAUCACCGUUCUCAAAUCUCAUCUUCCGAUCAUUCUUGAAUCUCUCCAUCCAUCUGCAAAUCGUUCUCAAAUCCCAUCUCCCGCCGUCUACAAAUCCCUAUCACAACAAUUGAUAUUGAUAUGCUAGCUAAUCUCUAUAUACCGGGUCUCCCGCCGCUGAUACAUCUAAAUUGGCAGGAUUUGGUGCUCCAUCUCCCCGCCUGAUUCCAGACUUUUUUUUUUUAAGGUACGUGAUUGAACAAUUUGACGUUUAUAUGUUUCUAUUGUUUCUCAUAAUUGUCGGACUAUUUGCUGCAACAUUUUCUCUUUCUGGAAUACAAAGAUAUCGGCGGCGGAAAGACUAGGUUAUAUACUUGCUUUUCCUCCCCACCCCACCGCGCGACUGUUUUCCAGUAUUUCAUGUGUUUGAUUAGCAGAACAUUUUAGCUCAUAGGGUCAAAGCAAUCACCUAAUUUUCAGAUAUAAUUUUUAAAACGUCCUUGCUCUUAGUUUAAAGUUGAUCCCAAACAUUAGACAGUCUUCUUCAUUAAGUUAUAAAAGUGCUCAGGCUGAGUUGUUUGCUCCCCUAUAAAGAUUUCGACAUAUUUGAAAUUAAGUAAGGAUAAAAGUCUGUAAAAUCUUUGAAUUAAUUUUCCAUAGGCAUGCCAGCUCUUCUUUGACGCCCUACCAUAUAAAUGCGCAUUUCUCGCUCUCCCAUCGCAUCUCUCCCACUCCCAAAUCUAGAAUCCUAUGUCAUCGCCGCCGGCUCCGUCUCCUCCAGUCGCCGCCGCUGUUGACUGCAGCUCACCAGGGAAUGCCCCAUUCUUUGCAACAUUAAGCUCAAGCAAGUUUUGUUCCAGAACCGCAGGCAAGCUGGAAAGAAAAUACAAGGUGUCAUAAGCUCUGCUUAUAAUAUAUAAAGGCAAGCAAAAGGAAGACUGCUACGAAGAGGCGGAACAAGAAAUUUUAGAGGAGGAAAAAGAGGUACGAAUCAAUGUGACUCAACUCCUGUUAGCUUUAUAAGAAUUGUUUGAAAAUGUGGAUAGCCAAAGGAUCCCAUGACAUUUGAUUCUUAUCAACUGUCCGAAAUAGAAUCAUUGAAGAAGAUGAUUGUAUGAAAAUCUUUCGUAGUGUUACAUUACCUAGCCUUCUUAACAUCACAAUCUAAAUUAAGAUUUGUAAUUCUUACUUUUAAUCUGCAUUGUGUUUAUGGAGGGGUUUGAUAAGAUUUUUGAUUUUCCAUUUCCUGGCCAUUGGCCAACUUGCUGUUCCUUAGCUCCACAUGCAAUAGACAGAUCCUGCAAAUCUCAGUGUUGUUCAUGGAGCUUCCAACUCCGACGUUGUAACCUUAAAUUAUUCAAAAUAUAUAUAUCUAUAUUUUUUUUUCA